rnacentral:tRNA from 1 species
GGCUAGAUAGCAAAGCGGUUAUGCAGAAGAUUGCAAAUCUUUUUAUAUUGGUUCGAAUCCAAUUCUAGCUU